ACUCCGUUUUUAAAAAUACCCAUGUACGUGUGGACAUGGCCUUAGUUAGCUUAGCUAAUCGUUCCGUUUUCAUACAGUAGUUGAUUUAACUGUCGAGGGUUUGUGUUGCGUAACCGAAACUAGCGUCACCUCUGAAAGGUUGAAAACAACUGAGGAGAUGUGAUUCCAAAACUGGUUUAGGUUUCUGUACACAUGUCACUAAGUCUUGCAAAUCAAGUUUGUUUUUUAAUAUUAGAGGGUUAUAGAGUUGUCAGUCUAAUGCGUUUCUGUUUUAGUACAUAAUAGAAAUUUUAGAUCAAAUUUUUGGGUGUAAACCCAACCAUAAA